rnacentral:rRNA from 1 species
AGUGAACGCUGGCGGUAGGCCUAACACAUGCAAGUCGAACGGCAGCACAGUAAGAGCUUGCUCUUACGGGUAGCGAGUGGCGGACGGGUGAGGAAUACAUCGGAAUCUACUUUUUCGUGGGGGAUAACGUAGGGAAACUUACGCUAAUACCGCAUACGACCUACGGGUGAAAGCAGGGGAUCUUCGGACCUUGCGCGAUUGAAUGAGCCGAUGUCGGAUUAGCUAGUUGGCGGGGUAAAGGCCCACCAAGGCGACGAUCCGUAGCUGGUCUGAGAGGAUGAUCAGCCACACUGGAACUGAGACACGGUCCAGACUCCUACGGGAGGCAGCAGUGGGGAAUAUUGGACAAUGGGCGCAAGCCUGAUCCAGCCAUACCGCGUGGGUGAAGAAGGCCCUCGGGUUGUAAAGCCCUUUUGUUGGGAAAGAAAAGCAGCAGGUUAAUACCCCGCUGUUCUGACGGUACCCAAAGAAUAAGCACCGGCUAACUUCGUG